rnacentral:rRNA from 1 species
AUUGAACGCUGGCGGCAGGCCUAACACAUGCAAGUCGAGCGGAUGAAGGGAGCUUGCUCCUGGAUUCAGCGGCGGACGGGUGAGUAAUGCCUAGGAAUCUGCCUGGUAGUUGGGGAUAACGUCCGGAAACGGGCGCUAAUACCGCAUACGUCCUGAUGGAGAAAGGGGGGGAUCUUCGGACCUCACGCUAUCAGAUGAGCCUAGGUCGCAUUAGCUAGUUGGUGGGGUAAAGGGCUACCAAGGCGACGAUCCGUAACUGGUCUGAGUGGAUGAUCAGUCACACUGGAACUGAGACACGGUCCAGACUCCUACGGGAGGCAGCAGUGGGGAAUCUUGGACAAUGGGCGAAAGCCUGAUCCAGCAAUGCCGCGUGUGUGAAGAAGGUCUUCGGAUUGUAAAGCACUUUAAGUUGGGAGGAAGGGAAGUAAGUUAAUCCAUUCAUGUUUUGACGUUACCAAAAGAAUAAGCCCCGGCUAACUUCGUG